CCUACGGGAGGCAGCAGUGAGGAAUAUUGGUCAAUGGACGAGAGUCUGAACCAGCCAAGUAGCGUGAAGGAUGACUGCCCUAUGGGUUGUAAACUUCUUUUAUAUGGGAAUAAAAUGUUCCACGUGUGGGAUUUUGUAUGUACCAUAUGAAUAAGGAUCGGCUAACUCCGUGCCAGCAGCCGCGGUAAUACGGAGGAUCCGAGCGUUAUCCGGAUUUAUUGGGUUUAAAGGGAGCGUAGGUGGAUUGUUAAGUCAGUUGUGAAAGUUUGUGGCUCAACCGUAAAAUUGCAGUUGAAACUGGCAGUCUUGAGUACAGUAGAGGUGGGCGGAAUGCGUGGUGUAGCGGUGAAAUGCUUAGAUAUCACGAAGAACUCCGAUUGCGAAGGCAGUUCACUGGACUGCAACUGACACUGAGGCUCGAAAGUGUGGGUAUCAAACAGGAUUAGAUACCCGUGUAGUC
rnacentral:rRNA from 1 species